rnacentral:rRNA from 1 species
GUAGGGAAUCUUCGGCAAUGGGGGGAACCCUGACCGAGCAACGCCGCGUGAGUGAAGAAGGUUUUCGGAUCGUAAAGCUCUGUUGUUAAGGAAGAACGAGUGUGAGAAUGGAAAGUUCAUACUGUGACGGUACUUAACCAGAAAGGGACGGCUAACUACGUGCCAGCAGCCGCGGUAAUACGUAGGUCCCGAGCGUUGUCCGGAUUUAUUGGGCGUAAAGCGAGCGCAGGCGGUUAGAAAAGUCUGAAGUGAAAGGCAGUGGCUCAACCAUUGUAGGCUUUGGAAACUGUUUAACUUGAGUGCAGAAGGGGAGAGUGGAAUUCCAUGUGUAGCGGUGAAAUGCGUAGAUAUAUGGAGGAACACCGGUGGCGAAAGCGGCUCUCUGGUCUGUAACUGACGCUGAGGCUCGAAAGCGUGGGGAGCGAACAGGAUUAGAAACCCCAGUAGUCC